rnacentral:rRNA from 1 species
UACAGAGGGUGCAAGCGUUGUUCGGAAUUAUUGGGCGUAAAGCGCGUGUAGGCGGCUUUGCAAGUCGGAUGUGAAAUCCCUCCGGCUCAACCGAGGAACUGCCCUGGAAACUGCGCGGCUCGAGGCCGGGAGAGGAUGGUGGAAUUCCCAGUGUAGCGGUGAAAUGCGUAGAUAUUGGGAGGAACACCGGUGGCGAAGGCGGCCAUCUGGACCGGUCCUGGACGCUGAGGCGCGAAAGCGUGGGGAGCAAACAGG